rnacentral:rRNA from 1 species
UACGUAGGGUGCGAGCGUUAAUCGGAAUUACUGGGCGUAAAGCGUGCGCAGGCGGUUUUGUAAGCCAGAUGUGAAAUCCCCGGGCUUAACCUGGGAAUGGCAUUUGGGACUGCAAGGCUUGAGUGCGGCAGAGGAGACUAGAAUUCCUGGUGUAGCAGUGAAAUGCGUAGAUAUCAGGAGGAAUACCGAUGGCGAAGGCGGCAUCCUGGACUGGUCCUGACGCUCAGGAGCGAAAGCGUGGGGAGCGAUCCGG